UUAGUAAGGACAAAUUUUCAUCAAGUUUUAGUUCUGUAGUGGAACAUCUUUAGCUGUUUUUGAAUGAGCUUCAACUAAGUUGUUGUGUCUACAUGGCACCAAUCAGAACUGUGUGAAGUUACUAAUUUGGUCUGAGAACCAUCUUUGUUAGCCUGCUGUAGCACUUGAGCUAAAAAGCCUUUCUGUCAUUCAGAGUUAGCUUUUUUACUUCUGCAUGGUUACAGACUUAUACAGGAUUGUGCUGUUCAACUCUGGAUCUUACUCUGUCUUCAAUUUUUUGGGUUUUAGUCUUAUUGAUUCUAAAAAUCAAUAUAUAUCACUUUACAGUGGUGCAAAAGGAAAUCUACAGAUAUAUUUAUUUGCCUUGUGGUUUAUGUCAAAGUAUGUAUUACUUUGUGGUGUUUCCAGGCUUCCAAAGGCUAUUAUGAUUCAUUAGGUUUAGGCAACACAUCUAUUUCAGAAGACCACAGCAUCAGACAUACUUCUGUUUAAAGGUCCAUAUUUUCAAGAGCUUGUAUUUGUCCCUGAGAUGUAAAUGGUUUUGAAUCAUAAAAGUAAUUUUGAUAAGAACAUAAGUUAACUUUGUGAAUAAAGUAAAUGUAUUUUUUUGAAGACACAACCUAGUUUUUAAUUUGUUUUUUAAGAAAAGGUCAGCUAUUUGUCUGGAACUAUUUGUGUGUCACACUUGUAUCAGGUAAAUAUUUUCGUGGUUUAGGCUGAUCAACAUAUGAAAGUCUGAUAGAAUUUUAUUUCUAAAUGAACAAUUCUUGUCUUGUUUUUAUUUGUAAUAAACCUGCUGCAACACAGUGGGGUAUUUUUUUUUUUUUAAAAAUAUCAUUAGUCACUAUAGAGCCAAAUUACUAGUUUGGAAUAAUUGCUAAUUACUCUUUCUAUAAGGAAACCUUACCCAAAUGAUUAGGAAAUACUAUCUCCAUAAUUCCGAGAAGUGUUUCUAAUUCCUAAACUCUGUAUAUAGUGCAAUCAGUCCAAUUUCAGUGGAAAUUAUCUUGUGCUACUGGAAAAACAGAUUUACAUCUGAAAGAUUACAUUAGAGAAUUAGGAUUAUAACAGUCCUCACACAAAAAGAACAGGUCUUUACAGGUUUUAUCAAUGACUGUCUUGAUGUUUUUUUGAACUUUGUAAUUGACUAUUAACAACAGAUUGUUGCAAUGAUUUUUCUGCCAAAACAAACACCUGUUGACAUGUGAGUUGCGUGAAAAUAAUCUCUGUGAAGCUCUCUGUAUAUGAGACCUCUAAUUUCAUUGCUUUUUUAAUGUACAGUGGAUUCAGUCUUUGCCUUGCACUGAGUGUUCAGAGAAGGUAAGUUUAUACUUCAAUCCAUACAAAUCUUAUCCAGGUAUUUGACUGCAGCUUGCUGAGUUGAGUGUGUGUCUGAUAAGAGCCGCAACCUUGCCCAUCUCCUCCUACGGUUGCCAAAAUUUACCCAAGAAUUUGUAAACAUUUGGGCAGUUACCCAAACAGCAAUUGCUCAUAUAAACACUUCUCUGCUAGCUGUACCAAAUUCAGGUUGUUUAAAAAUAUCUUGAGAAUGUCUGUCUCAGCAUACCUUGAGCUACAUUGGAGGCUUGCAUGGAUUUCCUGAUGUUGUUUUCUGGUUACGAUUGUAAGAUGAUGGAGAGUAUAAUUGUUGGUACUUUCGUUAAGGGGUGAGUACAAUGCCUUAUAUAAGCAGGGGUCUCCUCAGUGCUGGAGGUAUACACUGGUGAAACUGAAACAGUUCCUUUAAAGGCUGAUUAUGUUAAUUUAAGGUCUAUUGCAGAUGCUUACCAAUUUGGAGGUCAGUUCUUAUACCACCAGUCAGUGGCUGUGGCUCAGCUCCACGUUUGGUGAGGGGUUGUCUGCUUGUACGUGACUGAAUAUUUGCAGCCAUUUGAUGAAGGCAAUAGAUCGCAUCCAUAAUUUGAGCAAGACUGGCUUUAGGAACAAGUGAAGAAGACAUUGAUGGGAAGUUCCAUUCUGAAAAGGGAGGAAAACUCAUGACAAAAAGUGAGGCUGAGAAGAAUCCUGUGGAAAGUACCUGUGGUUUCUUUCUGGUACACAGGACAGCUUCUGUGACGGUCUGCCAAUGCACAGAGCAUGGAGCUUGAGCGUCCUCCCUGCUGUCCCUGGCCUUGCUGCUUGUGUUGUCUGUCCUGCUCUCUACCAAGCUCCUCCUGUGCUGUCCAUGAAAAAAGUCUCCAUAGCUGUUAGGCAAUCCCAGCAGCUGGAGAGGAGAGUUGGGAAGUCAUGAUGAAGAUGACUGUGUCAUCUCAUAUGGAAGAAGUGGCAGAGAAGCAAUUAUGGAAGGAAAUGCAGAAUGCAGUCAGAUAUACUGGCGAUAAUGCUGUAAAGAGGGAUCAUUCUUCAGCGGAGCAAGGAGACAAGAAGACUGCUGUAAGAUUAAAUUUACACCCUCAAGAAUGAGGGCAAAUCAUUUUUUUAGUCUGAGGUCUGUGGAUUUCUAUGGAGUGAAGUGGAUUUCUGCACUGGAGAGAAGUGAAUGCAGACUGUGAUCAAGUCUUGUGUUUGCUCCCUGAAGAUUAUCUCCUUUCACCACUGUUGAAGACAGAAGAACUAGGAGCUGGAUUAUCCGUUGGUCUCACCCUCUCAGUCAUUUCCUGUGGUCUUGUGUGUCCCUGUGCCUUGGCAAAUAAAUUCCAUCCAUUUAGUUCUUGUGGAAAAAAAGGAAAUUGAACUAGAGAUAAGCUGUUUUUUGAAAUUCAAACUAGAUCAUUUUUAUUGAUCCAGGUAAAAUGUGGUGAUUCAGAACAUGAUUCACUUAUACCUCUUUCAUAUUCUCAGUGAAUGACUCAAAGCAGUUCUGACUUUAUUGCUGGUUUCUAAAAUGUUAUUAGAGAAAAUAAUGUCAAAAAAGCUUUUCUCAUGUUCUUUUUUUAAAAAAAUUGAAUUAUAGAAUUACAAAAGUUCAGACGUGUAGUUUCAGGUUGUCAAGUUGCUUUGAAAGUUUUUCUGGAAAUGUGUUUAAGUGUUUUCACUGAUGUUUAUAGUGUUAGUGACCACAGAGACAAAAAAAAAAGUACAGGUACUAUUGUUUCCUUUUUUAAAAUUUUCAUUCUAGGUUCUUCUUCUUUUCCCUUUUUACAAAGUUGUUUGUAUCAUGCAAAAGACCAUUCAAACUUUACAGCCUUCAAGUACCCGAAGUAGAUAGAAUAUUUGUUUUCGGGUUUUACGGGGCAGUGCAAAUAUACAUAAUGACUUAUUACAAUUUAAGAUAAUAUCUCUAAAUCUAUAGGCUAGGUGUGCUUUAUUUUCUGAAGCUGUUACUUUCUUCUGUCAUAGAAACCACAGGUGGAUAUUCAGUUGAAUUGUUAAAGAACAAGGUUUUGUUUUUAACCAUCUUGUGUCAAUACUAUGUUGGCUCUCUUAUAAUCAUACCCUAGUUGAUCUUUUUCCUUGUCUUAUCCAUAUUUUAUUUAUAAAAAAUGGUGGGAGUGAGAGUAGAGAGACAAACAUGUUCAGUGAGUAAUCAAAACUGGAAUAAGUAAUUGGAAGGAGGGGGAGAAAGGGAAAUAAAUGGACUACACAGAGAUGCAGUUUUAAAAUCUAUUAAAUACAGCUGCAGCUGUGAUAAAACCAAAAGAAAAAGCAUUUCUCUCACAUGUGGGUUAUCUUAACACUAAUUAACUACUUGCUUGUUGCCUAAUAUUCCAGACAGGUGGAAAAAACGAGCCUGCAGUGCAUCUUAAUGAAGUAGGCAUAUAAAAGAAAGCUGACAAGCAGGUGCUACACUGAAAAAAGAAAGGCACAUAGGACUGAAAGAGUUAGAGGUUCACAGUCAACUUGUAUUUUGAUUGUUUGCACCAAGCUGUAACUGAACUUUUUGUGCAUCUGACUGCAAGUAGAAAAGGUUGAGGAAUGGUCAUCAGUUCCCUUCAUUGGCAUUCAUGCUUAUCCCAACAACUUAUUUUUUACCCUAGCUGUCAUAAAUAAUACUGCAUCUGCAGUUUUGGAACCAGCCAGUGCAAUCCUUGUUUCCCCGAGGGUCUGAAUGAUUUUUGGUUUGAGAGCAUUGUGUCACAUACAUAUUUAAGGUCAGUCAGCUUGGGUUGUUUUGUUCCCACAGUGUUGCACAAAGGCUAAAAGCCUUUCCGGAGAUGGGAGGUAUCCGAAGGGCUUCCUGCAGGGGUAGCUGCAUUCUAUUAGACUGAGCUAUGGUUUGUGCUGCUGCACCUCAGCUGGAUCUUGUCUGAGCAGUCAUUAUCCUGAGCUUCUGAGGCAUGUGAGCUUGUCAUCUGCUGAAAGGAUAUUAGUAACAUUUAAAUUUAGCAGAACACAGAAUACAUCUCUAUUGCUUCCAGAUCUAAGCCAACUUUUUUAGAUAAGUAGUUGAAUUAAGAAAAAUCUGCUAUCAUAUGAGAGCACCUGAACAUCUUUAGUCUUGCUCAACCUUUGUUUGCAAAUCAGAGAAGCCAUCCAAGGCCAGUGAAAAUCUGAUUGCGUUGUUUGGAAGGAGUGCAAGAACUCUCCAAAGUUUGCCAACAGAGGUCAUAAGUUCCUAUAAUGGCCUGUAAUGAACUGAUUUAAAGCUUUUAUUCUCCAAUAUGCAACUUCAAGCAUAUGAGGAUGAAUAUUGUGCUUUCUAAAGCCUGGUGCAGUUAAGUGUACUGCCUCUGUAAUUUCUGCACCUCUGAAAUAGGAUCUUAUGUAGCUGGAGCCUAUUGAUUUUUGUGCCAGGCACAAUGAUGUGUCUAUCUGGAUAGCUUACUGCAGAAGGAGAUGUUGGGAAUUAGAUCUGCAUGAGAAGGAGUGUUUUGUUGGAUUUUGUGUUCUGCUGGUUCUUGGAGAUAAGCUGCUGUGCAUUUUUAUUUUUGCUCUGGUGAUCUGUUUCAAGUUUUCUUAGAAUCUUAGGUAGAAGUCCCUUCUUAGUAUGACAUGCUUCCAGAUAAUAGCUGAAUUUGCUCAGUUUCUGAAAUUGCAGAGUUGAAAAACAAAUGAAGAUAUGAUGUGAAUUAAUGCAGCAUGUUCCUGAUUUAUUAAAAAGAAAAGGAAAUAGAAACUCAGAGAAAUAAAAUGGCUUUUCUUUCUCUUGGGGAAAAAAAUGAAGGUUUUACUUAGUGUUUCUUCUCAUGCAGCCUUGUGUUGAAAGAUUGACUGGUUUGUAGAUCAAGAGUUGAUUCCUAAGUGAGGUAAAUAAGGAAAAAAAUCCCUGAAUUAAGACAUCCUGACAUCCAGAUCUCUAUUUGGACUGUUUGGCUUUUUUUAGUGCUGCCUUUUCAUCCCAGUGUAGCUGGAAACUCUCAAAUCUCAGGUGUGAGAUUUUACUUGCAAAGUAUGUAUUUUCACCUUAAAAAAAAAAUUCCCAGUGUUAGUCAUGCAUUAUUUCAUACUAAUUAGGGAAUAUCAUGAAAGAUCUGAUGAAUUGUAAAUAAAUAUCCUAUAGAUAUAAGAUUUUAUCUUUUUUAACCAGUUGUGGUAGUUUAUUGAAGACUCGCUUUUAAGAUGUGUGAUUCUUUAGUAGCUCUAUCAAGUAUGAAGUGAAUGAAAAUCAUAAGCGAAUUGUUUUCUUUGCUAUGUAGUCUUUCCAUCUAAGAGGACCACGUUUCUCAAAUCUGUAUAUGAAUGAGAGCAAUGUUAACUAUGUAAAAAACUCUG